rnacentral:rRNA from 1 species
UACGUAGGGUGCAAGCGUUGUCCGGAAUUAUUGGGCGUAAAGGGUGCGUAGGCGGUUCCGCAAGUCCUGUGUGAAAUCUUCGGGCUCAACUCGAAGUCUGCACGGGAAACUGCGGGGCUUGAGUGUGGGAGAGGUGAGUGGAAUUCCCGGUGUAGCGGUGAAAUGCGUAGAUAUCGGGGGGAACACCUGUGGCGAAAGCGGCUCACUGGACCAUAACUGACGCUGAUGCACGAAAGCUGGGGGAGCAAACAGG